GCGUCGGUGGUGCAGCGGUCAGCAUAUGCACCCGGAAAAGAGUGAGAUCUAGGUUGGAAUCCCGGCUGACGCA